UAGUCCACGCCGUAAACGAUGAAUGCCAGCUGUCGGGGGGCAUGCCCUUCGGUGGCGCAGCUAACGCUUUAAGCACACCGCCUGGGGAGUACGGUCGCAAGAUUAAAACUCAAAGGAAUUGACGGGGACCCGCACAAGCGGUGGAGCAUGUUGUUUAAUUCGACGCAACGCGAAGAACCUUACCUACACUUGACAUACUCGUCGGGACUUUCAGAGAUGAUUGUCUUCGGUUCGGCCGGACGAUGUACAGGUGCUGCACGGCUGUCGUCAGCUCGUGUCGUGAGAUGUUUGGUUAAGUCCAGCAACGAGCGCAACCCCUAUCGUAUGUUGCCAGCAUUCAGUUGGGCACUCAUGCGAGACUGCCGGUGUUAAGCCGGAGGAAGGUGGGGACGACGUCAAGUCAUCAUGGCCCUUACGUGUAGGGCUACAAACGUGCUACAAUGGGAGUUACAGUGGGCAGCGACGUCGCGAGGCGAAGCUAAUCCCUAAAAGCUCUCUC
rnacentral:rRNA from 1 species